rnacentral:tRNA from 1 species
UCCCUGGUGGCUUAGUGGUAAAGAUUCUGCCUGCCAAGCAGGAGACGUGAGUUCAAUACCUGUGUUGGGAA